UGGCAUCAGUGUAUUGUGUGUACAUGCACGUUGGGAUUUGAUUCCUGCAUUAAAAAAUUCUCCUUAAUCCUUUUUUACAGCUCCUAAUGAUACAAUCAGACUUACACAAUAGAUAAAAGCUAUACUCAGAAAGGACUUUGUAAUUAAAGUAGUUUGUGGGAUACACUUACAAGAAAUUGACUUAAUACGUAAAAAAAAAAUUAUGACCUGUACAAAUGGGAAAGU